GCAAGCCUGAAAUAGCGUGUGAAAACCCACAUUGUACAGUAGUACCUUUGAAGCAGCCUACUCUACACAUUGCAGACAAAGAUCCAAUCCCAGAGGAGCAGGAAUUAGAAGCUUAUGUAGAUGAUAUAGAUAUUGAUAGUGAUUUCAGAAAGGAUGAUUUUUAUUACUUGUCUCAAGAAGACAAAGAGAGACAGAAGCUUGAGCAUGAAGAAUCCAAGAGGGUGCUCCAAGAAUUAAAAUCUGUGCUGGGAUUUAAAGCUUCAGAGGCAGAAAGGCAGAAGUGGAAGCAACUUCUAUUUAGUGAUCAUGUGUUUUCUUCAUAUAGCUUUAAAAUUAUGCUAUUGACAUUAUGGGAAAAGAUUUAUCAAUGAGAGAAAUGUGUCUCUUUUUCAGCCGUGUUGAAAUCCUUGUCUCCUGUAGACCCAGUGGAACCCAUAAGUAAUUCAGAACCAUCAAUGAAUUCAGAUAUGGGAAAAGUCAGUAAAAAUGAUACUGAAGAGGAAAGUAGUAAAUCCACCACAACAGACAAUGAAAUAAGUAGGACUGAGUAUUUAUGUGAAAACUCUCUAGAAGGUAAAAAUAAAGAUAAUUCUUCAAAUGAAGUCUUCCGCCAAGGAGCAGAAGAAAGAAUGUGUUACCAAUGUGAGAGUGAAGAUGAACCGCAAGCAGAUGGAAGUGGUCUGACCACUGCCCCUCCAACUCCCAGGGACUCAUUACAGCCCUCCAUUAAGCAGAGGCUGGCACGGCUACAGCUGUCACCAGAUUUUACCUUCACUGCUGGCCUUGCUGCA
rnacentral:sRNA from 1 species